rnacentral:rRNA from 1 species
UACGGGGGGGGCAAGCGUUGUUCGGAAUUACUGGGCGUAAAGGGUGUGUAGGCGGUUUUUUAAGUUUGGUGUGAAAUCUCCCGGCUUAACUGGGAGGGUGCGCCGAAAACUGGAAGGCUCGAGGAUGGGAGAGGCAUGCGGAAUUCCUGGUGUAGCGGUGAAAUGCGUAGAUAUCAGGAGGAACACCUGCGGUGUAGACAGCAUGCUGGACCAUUUCUGACGCUGAGGCACGAAAGCGUGGGUAGCAAACAGG